ACUACAUGUACCUCCUUGGCUUUGAAUGUAAUCAAGAAAUCAUAUCUCUGGAAAGUAUAUUUAUACAAAUGUUUUUUUAUGUUUUUGCUAUAUUAAUUUUAAACAAAUGAAGAAAAGUCAAAUGAUGCACAGGAUAACCUAAACAGGAUGUGAAUUGAUUCUAGAAAUGACAUUAACAGUAGCAGGUAUCCAGAAUUUUUUGGUAGUAAUAAUUUCGCUUCGGUCUUUCCCAUUAUGUUGUUUCCACUUUGCUAUUGUAUUAUUAUAUCCAGUAUGGAAAAAAUGGACGACCUCCUUUGAUAUUAGACUGUUGAUGACACUUCAUAAUUUUGUUUGCAGCCUUGUAUCCCUGUAUACGUUUAUUGGAUUUUUAAAUUGUUUUUCUGUAAUUGAAUCAACAUUUAAGCUUGGACCAGAGCAAUGUCUGUUACCAUAUUUCAAGGUGUACUGGAUUACAAAAAUGUUGGAGUUAUUUGACACAGUGAUUAUGAUUCUACGCCAUAGACGAAAACAGAUCAGUUUUCUUCAUGUUUAUCAUCAUAGUACCAUGAUGUUACUGGCAGAUGCUUGUUUCCAUCUUUUUCCAUGGCCACCAAUGUCUGUUUACUUUGCAACCAAUUCAUUGGUUCAUUUCAUAACAUAUUUGAUUUAUGGAUUAUCGACCUUCUUCCCCGAUGAAUUGUUGCCAUGGAGAAAGUUCAAUACAAAGAUUGAAAUUCUAGAGCAUUUAGUGCUAUUCGUUCAUGUUACAUAUGGAUAUUUUAACAAAGGCUUUUGUGUAUAUGGUGUACUGUUUGUUAUUACUCUGUUAUCCUUAAAUGUCUAUAACCUUUUCUUUACAUCAUCAAAACCAUUGAAAACUGAAUAACAGUUUUUUUCGGUUUUUAACAAAUAUAACUUUAUUGAGUUAUUGUG